rnacentral:lncRNA from 1 species
GUACAAUGGAAGCCCUUCUGCCUUGCUCAAGACUGGAUGUCCCUCUUUUCUAACUUGCCUAAACACCAUCGGCACACAGCACAGUCCUUUGAGUGGGUCUCACACUGGACACAGCAUCGAGGAGCUUCUCCACGGGGAAGUGUGUGUGUGAGAGCCUGCCUGUGUGUCAACACUGUCCAAGACUCGGAGCUGCGACUCGGUCGCGUGGUGCGGAGUCCAGGGCUGAGAAGGCAGCGCACUAAAUAUCUCUGUAUCAGGUGGACCCAGCCGAACUCCGCAGCAGCCCAGGCCAGCGCCCCACCUCCGGGUCACCGGCAUGAUCCGCCUCUCCCCGGGCCCCCGCGGCCCUGGCACCCGAGGUCAGCGGGCCGUGGGUACAGCUCAGCCGCGGACCCUGCUCCGCGAGUGCGGGAGCUUUGGACUUGAACGCGACGUGCUCGCCCGGCUCCCAACAAACUUGCAAUUUCCGCGCGCACCCCUUAAACAGGAACUGUUCCCCAAACCUUGACCCAGCUACCCCGCUGUGCUCUGGCCCGCGGACCUGUGUCCGAACCCGGGCUCGGCUGCCGGAACCGGUUUGAGAAAACAAAAGAGUUGUGGGGCAGUUUUCCCUGUGGGGGGCAGGGGCGCCUCCCAGGUCCCUGCACCCCGACUCCCGGCUGCUCCCCUGGCAACUAAUCCGGAGAAGGGAAGUGGUGCCACGAGCCCCCACUGCCCGGGGAGGGAGGGAGAGAGAAGGGGGAACUGGGAAAUAAACUGAAUUCUCUUACUCUGCCUCCGUUCCUGGACCCCAGACACACCCCCAAAGUAUUCCACGGUUUUCUCUUAUUAUUUUUUUAAACGCCCCCCGGCAAACCUAGGCAGGGAUCCUUAGCCGCGAACAGCAGGAAGGAAAGAAUCCGAGCAAAUCGUGUCACUUUCCGCACAAUCGCGGUGUUUGGCAAGCCCCCGGAGCUACUCCACAAUAUUUACUACCCAAGCGCACGCAGGCUGCAGCGGGCUGCGAGCCGAGCGCGCCCGGGACCGGCCUCCGCCAAGCCGGCCCCGCCGCGGCCCGGCCACCGCCGCUCCCCUCCCAGGAUCAAGCAGCAAGAACACGGUGGAAACAAAAGCAGAGCGUUCACCUUGUUGCAAUAUGUUCAGCAAAACAAGCUUAGACGGAACAGAGUGAGGUGUCUGGGCUCAGGAGUAAAAGAAACACCUUCCUUCCCUCACAUCCGUUUGUGGUUUGUUUAAGAAGAAGAGGAAAAAAAAAAAAAAGAGGGGGGAAAAGCGCUCAACUCUCCCCCAAGCCGCGGCGCGCACCCGUCGGCGCCGAGCGCGCAGCCUGCUCCACCGCCGCCUCUUGGUCCCGCCGCCGCCGCUGCCGCCGCCGCCGGGCAGAGGCCGGGGACCGGAGAAAGGAGGAGCGGAGAAGGAGAAGGAGGAGAGCACGGCCUGGCUGGGACAGAAGCGGUGGGACCCUGGGAGGCCUCCGCUGUGCCCGUGCCGCGCUCCUCGGGACCAGCGCGUCGCACACAAAGGGGCUGCCGAGCCAGAGCCACCAGCGGCCUCAGGGCACCGUGGGGAGCGCGCAGCUAGGGGGCGCUGUGGCGCACCCCGCCCCGCAGCCCCGCCCCCGGCCCUCCCCGGCCCCACCCCACUCCCACCGCCCUCUCCGCGGCCGUCCCCACCCCUAUCUCCGCGACCCCCACUCCUCCUCGGCUGUUCCCCAACCCUGUCACUGUGCUCCCCUCCCUACUCCCGGCCCGUAGUGGAGGUGACUUUCCUGCGCAGCGCCGCUUCUGAGGGCGGAGAACCCACAGGGAGUGCGACCCCUUUGCACGCUGUGAGUGGGCAACUGUCCGAGGGACUCGAGCCGAUCGAAGGCUGGACGCCCUAUAGGGCUCUUGGCAGUCCACGAAAGACCUGGAGUCCGCCUCCCCAUUUCUCCGGUCGGUGAGUGGCAGGAGGAAAUCGCCAAACAUGUUUUCCCGCUUUGCCUCCCCAACUCGGAAACUUGCAACUUGCCGUGUCCUGGAGGUUGAGACAAUUUGGGGUCUCUUGGCUGCCGUCCAACAGAUUUAUCUCUGAGGGCAGUGUCCUUGGUGAGAGGUCCAAGUAGGUGUGGGCGACAUUGUCCUCCAUCUCAUGAGGGAGCAGCCCUGCACACUAGGGCCCAAAACUCUGCGAAGGAGCUUGGAAGUUCUUCAUCCGUUCCACUUGUUUUGCUACUCCACACACCCUUCUAGGACAUGUUGAUUGCCAACUGCUCUGUGCAGCUUUCCCAUAGCUGUCUGUUCCCGUGCAUUUCGGAGCACCAAGCAAAUACGAGCAGAGAGACCUGGAAAAAAAAAUGAUGAAGACAGUAUUAAUGAUAAAAUUAACAUGGCUGAGUGAAUUGUCAAUGCAAGUUCCUUUACUAACUCUUUGUUAAGUUUUGCUUUGUACUCCUUACAUCCUCUUUCUCUUAAGCCAUUGUUUUAAUUUCUUCUCGUUAUCAUUUUUAAAAGUAACAGAAAUACAGCUUUCUUCCUACCUUCACGAUUGACUUGGUGGAGGUUGGGUUGCAAAGAGGAAGCAGUAAGAAAAAAUAAUUAUUCUAUACAUUCACAAGUCCUUCAAGGCACAAAAUAAAAGUAAGAAAUAGAAAAUAUGUCCUUUCUCCUAAUAAAGGUCUUUAUAAUAAAAUUUAAAUGAAGUUUUGUGUUUCAUAACAGCUUCCCAAAUACUGUUGUAGAUACUAAAAUGUGCCUGUAUGUAUUUCCUUCCACAAUAAUAAUAGUAAUAAUAAACUUUUUUAGGUCCAAAUUAAACAUUUCUCAGCUUAAAUUUCUAUCCUCAAUCCAACAUUUAUUAUAUCAAAACUUGAUUUUUAAAAAUAAAACUUUCUUGGAAUUCAUCAUUGAUGUCUGUUUGAUGGCCUCGUGAACAUCAGGAAGAUGAAAUGAAAUGGUUCAAGACUGGAACAAUACCAUUAUCUGCAUCUUGACUCCUGGGAGAUAAUGAUAUCUCCUGCUUUCCUCUACAGACCUACCAGUUUUCUCUGCUUUAAGGGAAAAUCCAAAUGCAUGAGACCUGUGCAUUCUUCUACAUAAUCAAGAGUCUGGUUUCUUCCAUCGGAGUGUAUGGAGUUAAAGUGGUAUACUGUACAUGGCAUGGUGUGAUAGGUGGGAAUAUGAGCUACUGGGGGAAAAAGUUCUUACUUCUAGCCACUUAUACAAAGAGAGGCCAUCUCAGUGUAAUCUGAAAAAAUGCUCACUUUAUAAUGCUGUAUCCAAGGCCCAUCAAAAACUAAAUGGAUGUAUUUGUACUAAAAGUUGGGGAAAGUUGAAUAUCUAAACCUCUGAGCAAAUCUUUCUUAAUUUAGAAAAUAAAAUAGAGCAUCAUUGUAAUACUUUUCAGUUUCCUGGACAUUCAACUCCA